rnacentral:rRNA from 1 species
UACGAAGGGUGCAAGCGUUACUCGGAAUUACUGGGCGUAAAGCGUGCGUAGGUGGUUUGUUAAGUCUGAUGUGAAAGCCCUGGGCUCAACCUGGGAAUUGCAUUGGAUACUGGCAGGCUAGAGUGCGGUAGAGGGUAGUGGAAUUCCCGGUGUAGCAGUGAAAUGCGUAGAGAUCGGGAGGAACAUCCGUGGCGAAGGCGACUACCUGGACCAGCACUGACACUGAGGCACGAAAGCGUGGGUAGCAAACAGG